AUUGAACGCUGGCGGCAUGCCUUACACAUGCAAGUCGAACGGCAGCGGGGGAGAAGCUUGCUUUUCCUGCCGGCGAGUGGCGAACGGGUGAGUAAUACAUCGGAACGUGCCCUGUGGUGGGGGAUAACUAGUCGAAAGAUUAGCUAAUACCGCAUACGACCUGAGGGUGAAAGUGGGGGACCGCAAGGCCUCAUGCUAUAGGAGCGGCCGAUGUUUGAUUAGCUAGUUGGUGGGGUAAAGGCCUACCAAGGCGACGAUCAGUAGCUGGUCUGAGAGGACGAUCAGCCACACUGGGACUGAGACACGGCCCAGACUCCUACGGGAGGCAGCAGUGGGGAAUUUUGGACAAUGGGCGAAAGCCUGAUCCAGCAAUGCCGCGUGUGUGAAGAAGGCCUUCGGGUUGUAAAGCACUUUUGUCCGGAAAGAAAUGGCUCUGGUUAAUACCUGGGGUCGAUGACGGUACCGGAAGAAUAAGGACUGGCUAACUACGUGCCAGCCGCCGCCGUAA
rnacentral:rRNA from 1 species